rnacentral:misc_RNA from 1 species
UACGGAGGGUGCAAGCGUUGUCCGGAAUUAUUGGGUGUAAGGGGUGCGCAGGCGGAAGCCUACGUCGAGGGUGAAAGACGGCCGCUCAACGGCCGCAGUGCCUUCGAUACGGGGUUUCUUGAGUCCGGAAGAGGUUAGUGGAAUUCGUGGUGUAGCGGUGAAAUGCAUAGAGAUCACGAAGAACACCAGUGGCGAAGGCGGCUAACUGGUCCGGAACUGACGCUGAGGCACGAGAGCGUGGGGAGCGAACAGG